rnacentral:rRNA from 1 species
CCUACGGGUGGCAGCAGUGGGGAAUAUUGCGCAAUGGGCGAAAGCCUGAAGCAGCGACGCCGCGUGCGGGAUGAAGGUCUUCGGAUCGUAAACCUCUGUCAGCAGGGAAGAACGGUCACUGUGCUAAUCCGCAGUGCAUUUACGGUACCUGCAAAGGCAGCACCGGCUAACUCCGUGCCAGCAGCCGCGGUAAUACGGAGGGUGCGAGCGUUCAUCGGAAUUACUGGGCGUAAAGCGCUCGUAGGCGGUAUGUCAAGUCAAGUGUGAACUCCCCGGGCUCAACGUGGGAACUGCCUGUGAAACUGGCAAGCUGGAGUGUGUGAGAGGAUAGUGGAAUUCCAGGUGUAGGAGUGAAAUGCGUAGAUAUCUGGAGGAACAUCAGUGGCGAAGGCGACUAUCUGGCACAUAACUGACGCUGAGGAGCGAAAGCGUGGGUAGCAAACAGGAUUAGAUACCCCUGUAGUC